GUCUACAGCCAUGCCAUCCUGAACAAGCCCUAUCCUGUCUGAUCUCGGAAGCUAAGCAGGGUCAGGCCUGGUUAGUACUUGGAUGGGAGACCACCUAGAAAGACCAGGUGCUAUAAGCA
rnacentral:rRNA from 1 species